rnacentral:lncRNA from 1 species
UCUUAUUCUCCCUUCACCCUUUCAAAUCCACCAACGCUCUCGCCCAUUUCAUCAUUUUCUCUGACGAUUAAAGUUCCGAACAUUCCUUCCGAUCUAUGCUUUGCAAAAGUCUCGGGCUGCUAGAUUGUAGAGCUUUAUGUGUGAUUGUAAGGGGCUUUGAUUUUAGUGCGUUCUGGAAAUGAAGUUAUGAUCUGUGAGGGUGAUCUGCUUUGGGUUUCAGAUCUUGAUGUCUGCUAGUGUUGAGGUUUUUGGUGCGCAAAAUUGGUCCAGAUUUAGUCAUCUGUGUGUCUCCGAUCUGGGUGUUUAAUCUUUUAUUGCCGAUUUAAAAAUGUUCAGAUUUGGAUGUAUUUUCUCUUUGGUCCAUAUGACAACCACCUUCUUCUCGGUUUGGGGUGUCGGUCUUGUUUCGUCUGGUUCUUGUAUGUGCUGCAUUUGGUUAUUUGGAAGAUUUAGGGCUGCUAAUGUCUUUAAAGCUUGAAUAUUUGAAUCUGCGGUGUCUGAAUCCAGUGUACUAUGGAGAUAUUAGUAAAAUGGCAAAACCCACAAAUGGCCAAGUUGAAUGGACCAUUGGUGGGGUUUGCCAUAGGAAAAUGCAGCUGAAUCUUGAAUACCUUGUUAAAUUUUUACUUGCCUGCUGGUGGGGUGACUUAUUUUCCAGCUUUACAGAGAAAAAUUUCUUCAGGCUUUUUCUCUCUUGGAAUUUCUUUUCCACAUUAGGUGGCUGCUUAUGUUAACAUAGGAGCAUAACUAGAAGUAAAAUGUUUAAAUCUAUCUCACUGAUUAUGAGUGUUUUAUUUUUAUUUUUCCUUUCUCUCUUCUGACGAUGUUUGCAACAACUCUGAAAGACUGUGAACUCUGAUCUAAUGACAUUUACCUCUUUUUACAGCUAGUUGCAACCUAAUGAAGUUGGCAUUAUAUUUUUUUUUCCACUAAUUUAGAAAUGAAAUUAUUUCAGAA